rnacentral:rRNA from 1 species
UAGGGAAUCUUCCACAAUGGACGCAAGUCUGAUGGAGCAACGCCGCGUGAGUGAAGAAGGUCUUCGGAUCGUAAAGCUCUGUUGUUGGUGAAGAAGGAUAGAGGCAGUAACUGGUCUUUAUUUGACGGUAAUCAACCAGAAAGUCACGGCUAACUACGUGCCAGCAGCCGCGGUAAUACGUGGUGGCAAGCGUUGUCCGGAUUUAUUGGGCAGUAAAGCGAGCGCAGGCGGAAUGAUAAGUCUGAUGUGAAAGCCCACGGCUCAACCGUGGAACUGCAUCGGAAACUGUCAUUCUUGAGUGCAGAAGAGGAGAGUGGAACUCCAUGUGUAGCGGUGGAAUGCGUAGAUAUAUGGAAGAACACCAGUGGCGAAGGCGGCUCUCUGGUCUGCAACUGACGCUGAGGCUCGAAAGCAUGGGUAGCGAACAGGAUUAGAUACCCUGGUAGUCCAUGCCGUAAACGAUGAGCGCUAGGUGUUGGGG